rnacentral:rRNA from 1 species
GGGGUUCGGAACUUCGGUUCCGGCUUACGUGGCGCACGGGUGAGUAACACGUGGGAAUCUGCCCAUCUAUGGGGAAUAACUGCGGGAAACUGCAGCUAAUACCGCAUACGCCCUUCGGGGGAAAGGCUUCGGCCGUAGAUGGAUGAGCCCGCGUCCGAUUAGCUAGUUGGUGGGGUAAAAGCCUACCAAGGCGACGAUCGGUAGCUGGUCUGAGAGGAUGAUCAGCCACACUGGGACUGAGACACGGCCCAGACUCCUACGGGAGGCAGCAGUGGGGAAUAUUGGACAAUGGGCGAAAGCCUGAUCCAGCAAUGCCGCGUGAGUGAUGAAGGUCUUCGGAUUGUAAAGCUCUUUCGACGGGGAAGAUAAUGACGGUACCCGUAGAAGAAGCCCCGGCUAACUUCGUGCCAGCAGCCGCGGUAAUACGAAGGGGGCUAGCGUUGUUCGGAUUUACUGGGCGUAAAGCGUGCGUAGGCGGCUUGUCAAGUCAGAAGUGAAAGCCCGGGGCUCAACUCCGGAACUGCUUUUGAGACUGGCAGGCUUGAGUUCGGGAGAGGGUAGUGGAAUUCCCAGUGUAGAGGUGAAAUUCGUAGAUAUUGGGAAGAACACCG